rnacentral:tRNA from 1 species
ACUUUCGUGGUGUAGUGGUCUGCAUUCUCGACGCGUAACCGAGAGGUCCGUGGUUCGAUUCCCGGCGAAGGCG